rnacentral:lncRNA from 1 species
GAAUCCUGGGGACACUGACACCCAUUAGAGGUGGGCUGAGGAUUCCAGGUUAGACAGGAGGGAACAGAGAAGCAGACACAGAACCUGGGCACGGUGCUGAGGCAGAAGCAAAACAAAACAAAACAAAAAAAACAUGUUCAAGGUAGAAGGGAGGGAGCAACAGCACAAAGACCAAGCUGGUCAGGUAACCAACUGCUUAUAAAAAACACAUCUUAGACAAAGUGAGAAAAUGCACUCCCUUAGCAGGAAUAUUCUCUUGUUCAGUAGAAAACAAAUUGGCAAUAGUAAUUGGGCACUGAAAUUUAGAUGAAGAGGACAAAGUGAAAUUUAAAGGGAUAAUUCAUCCUGACUAAAGCAUCAAAAUAUAUAAGGCAAGUUGUAAGAAUAUACUGCAAUUUUGCCACUGCAAUACUUGCCUAUAAAAACCAAGAAAAUCACGGCGUUCCCAUCGUGGCUCAGCAGUUAAUGGACCUGACUAGCAUCCAUGAGGAUGCGGGUUCAAUCCCUGGCCUCAAUCACUGGGUUAAGGAUCCGGUAUUGCCGUGAGCUGUGGUGCAGGUCUCAGAUGAGGCUCGGAUCCUGCAUUUGCCGUGUGGCUGUGGUGCAGACUGGCUGCUGUAGCUAUGAUUCAACCUCUAGCCUGGGAACCUCCAUAUGCCAUAGGUGCGCCCACCCCCCCCCAAAAAAGACCAAGAAAAUAAACUGAAAACAAAACUAAUAAGAAAUUGGUAAAGUGAAUCCAAAUUACAUUGGUUUAUAACAAUCGGCACUUUUUAUACCAGCAAUAUCCAGCUAGAAAUUAGGACAGAAAUAAGAACACAUUCAGGAAAUUAACUAAAACAUAAAACUACCUUAAGUUUUAAAAAAGAACUAGAAGGAGUUCAUGUCCUGGCACAGUGGAAACGAAUCCAACUAGGAACCAUGAGGUUGCGGGUUCGACCCCUGGCCUUGCUCAGUGGGUUAAGGAUCCAGCGUUGCCGUGAGCUGUGGUGUAGGUUGCAGACGCAGCUCGGAUCCUGCGUUGCUGUGGCUCUGGUGUAGGCUGGUGGCAACAGCUCUGAUUAGACCCCUAGCCUAGGAACUCCAUAUGCCGUAGGUGUGCCCCUCAAAAGACAAAAAAAAAAAAAAAAAAAACAAACUAGAAAACCUUACAGAAAUGUUAAAAAUUGACUAAAUAAGCAGUCAUAAAUCAAAAUACCUAAGGUUUGGUUUUGAAAUUAUAAACAACAUGAUUUUUAAUUUAAUUGAAAUAACAAGAGAGGAAAGUUAAUCAAAAUAUUUGGGAGCAAAGAGCUUUAAGAUAAUCAUAUCAUCAAGAUUGCAUCUCAAGGAUUUUUCAGCUGCAUCUCAGAUAUUGAACCAGAAAUUAAGUACAGAGCACCUUAUUCAUCAUAGAAUUAUUGAGGGAAUAUUUGGAAAUAAUCUAAAUAUACAAGAAUAGGGGCAUAGGUAAAUAAUUCAGUAUACUAGAAAACUAUGAAGACACUGAAAAACAAAACAAAACAAAACCACUAAGAAUAUUUAAAGACAUGAGUAAAUGCUAAGGUGAGGAAAGCUGUGGGGGGUGGGAGUGGGGGACACAAACAAACUAUAAUCAGUGCGAUUCCAAAUUUGCAAGUCUAUUAUAUUUUUGAAGUGAAUAUCUGAUACUGUUAACCAUAGAUAUCUUUGGGUAAUGUUUACAUGUGACUUCAGUGUUCUUCCUCCUCCUUCAUUCCUCGUCCUCCUUUCUUUUCUAAAAAGAGAAAUCUUUACACUUAAAAUUAGAAAUAGGUAACAUUAGGAAAAUGAGAAUCUGCUGAAUGUGGUGGCUCUUAGGUGGUUACUGGUGCCCGUGAUGCUGGGAUUGCUGAGGUUUAUUUCCAGAACUGUGAGGCUGGAGUGGGAAGCCUGAACAAAUGAGGAGAGGGAGAAUCAACGCUGGACUGGGUCCCCAGAGAGAGAUCGAUGGGUAACAACACGGGGACAAACGGAAGCAUUCGCAUCGACUCAUGAAUCUUUGAUUGUUUUCAGCCAUCUGCUGAAAAGCAAGCAGCAGAGGUGUCUAGAAAAAAAAAAGUGGUGAAGCUCUUGACCGAGGGGGCUGGGAGAGGAAGCCAGAGCCCCUCAACCAGCUGCCGAGGAAAGGCCAGCCCCUUUGGGUCCAGCAGAGGCGACCCUAGAGUGGUGCAUGCCUGCAAAACAGACCCAGCAUGGGCGGGGCGUGGGCGGGGCUCCUGAUCUGCAGGCUGGGUCUACCGUGCUCAACUGGCCCUGCCUAGGGUGGAAACAUCUGUCCACCAGCCCGUCCAAACGCCUCUUUGAGGCAUCCGGGUCUUAAGAACACUUCCUAAGCAGGGACGUUACUAUUGGUUCCUGCUCCUGGUAUGAUGUCACCAUCAGCCAAUCUAAAGUCAGCUGCUCCUCCCAGGCUAAGGAGUUAAUUAGGAAUUAGUUAACUAUUCUUAAGCCAAUAGGGACAGGCUCUAGCGGUUCAUCUCAUCUGUUUUGGCUUCUGUUCGCCAGGGAAAUGAGGCAGUGGAGUUGGAAAUAAACUGAAUAAGAGCAGAUAGUGCUCGGCUUUGUAGAUAUACGUAUAGAUAUAUACAUUUUUAAAGUUUAAAAGUAAUGUAUGUUCAUUGAAAAAAAUUGUAAAACGAAUCAAUGACACUCCACUACCUAGAGUUAAUAAUAUUAAGCAUUUCAAUGCAGUUUCUACCUACAUUUUUAAACUCAAAAGUGUGAGAUUUAUACAGAAAUUAACUCACUGUAAUUUUUGUAGCAUUUUUUAUUCACUUACUGUAAACAAUUAAUAAUCUUCAGAUGUACAAUGUGUAAUGACCGUAAAAUUUUUCAACUAAAUGGACAUUCCAUAAGUGCACCAUUUUCCAGUAUAUAAACCAAUGCUAUCAUUUUUUCUGGCUGCAAGGAAUCGUGUCCUGGACAUAAUUGAAAAUAAUACUGCAACAAUACUACUGUACACACAUUGUAUAUUCUGUAAAUGCAUUGUUCAAUAAUUCCUUAGGAUAAAUUCCUGGAAGUGACAUUCCUGUGUCAAAGAUUAAAAUACAUGUUUCCGUAUUGCUCUCCAGAAAUGUUGCCAACAGUCCAUGACAGCGUUCAGUUCUCCACAUGCUAAAAAAAAGGGGGGGGGGAUGUUUUCAAUCUUUUACAUCAUUGAUAAUCUUGUGAAUCUUUUUAAAAUUCAUUUUCUUGGAGUUCCCAUUGUGGCCCAGUGGUUAACGAAUCCGACUAGGAACCAUGAGGUUUCGGUUCGAUCCCUGGCCUUGCUCAGUCGGUUAAGGAUCCGGCGUUGCCGUGAGCCGUAGCGUAGGUUGCAGACGAGGCUCGGAUCCCGUGUUGAGGUGAGUCUGGCGUAGGCCGGCGGCUACAGCUCUGAUUCGACCCCUAGUUGGGAAACCUCCAUAUGCCUAGGGAGUGGCCCUAGAAAAAGCAAAAAGAAAAUAAAUAAAU